rnacentral:rRNA from 1 species
GCGCCUACGGGAGGCAGCAGUGGGGAAUAUUGCACAAUGGGGGAAACCCUGAUGCAGCGACGCCGCGUGAGGGAAGACGGUCCUAUGGAUUGUAAACCUCUUUUGCCGGGGAGCAAAAAGCGGUACGUGUACCGCAUCGAGAGUACCCGGAGAAAAAGCAUCGGCUAACUCCGUGCCAGCAGCCGCGGUAAUACGGAGGAUGCGAGCGUUAUCCGGAUUUAUUGGGUUUAAAGGGUGCGCAGGCGGCGAGUUAAGUCAGCGGUAAAAUUUCGGGGCUCAACCCCGACGAGCCGUUGAAACUGGCU